AUGGAUUAUAUCUUCAACCUUGCAAAUUCAAUUUCUUUGCGUUUUCUUAUUCUGUUAAUAGCAAUUACUUUGCUUAUGCCGUUGUCUCCAGUUAGUGCAGAUAUUAAAAUGAGAAAAUUAGGAAAUUUUCCAAGUCCACCUCCUUCACCAAGAAUAAACCAAGGACGAGUACCAGCAUCAAAAUCAAGAGAUAAUCAUUAUAAGGGUGGAGACCGUGGAGGCCAUGGCACAUAA